AAGUCGUAACAAGGUUUUUGGAUACAGCAUGAAAAUGAACCUUCCUGGUUCAACUUGCUGAAGCCUUAGCAGCCAGCUGUAAAAAGUUGGUGCCCAGAGCGACUAAUGCAAUAAAUAAAUACUGGAGAUUAAAUGCUAGUCAUGCGAUGUAUGACAUUUGUCAUACGUUGUAUGCAACAUUGCUCAAUUGCAGGUUCUC
rnacentral:misc_RNA from 1 species